rnacentral:rRNA from 1 species
AUUGAACGCUGGCGGCAGGCCUAACACAUGCAAGUCGAGCGGAUGAAGGGAGCUUGCUCCUGGAUUCAGCGGCGGACGGGUGAGUAAUGCCUAGGAAUCUGCCUGGUAGUGGGGGAUAACGUCCGGAAACGGGCGCUAAUACCGCAUACGUCCUGAGGGAGAAAGUGGGGGAUCUUCGGACCUCACGCUAUCAGAUGAGCCUAGGUCGGAUUAGCUAGUUGGUGGGGUAAAGGCCUACCAAGGCGACGAUCCGUAACUGGUCUGAGAGGAUGAUCAGUCACAGGGGAACGGAGACAGGGCCGAGACUCGUAGGGGGGGCAGCGGGGGGAAAUUUUGAAAAAGGGGGGAAGGCCUGACCAAGCCAUGCGGGGUGUGUAAAGAAGGUCUUCGGAUUGUAAAGCAUUUUAGGUUGGGAGGAAGGAAAGAAAUUAAAUCCCUUGUUGUUUGGACUUACCCAAAAAAAUAAGCCCGGGCUAACUCCGGC